UGGUUCUGGCAUCGAUGAAGAACGCAGCGAAAUGCGAUAAGUAAUGUGAAUUGCAGAAUUCAGUGAAUCAUCGAAUCUUUGAACGCACAUUGCGCCCACUAGUAUUCUAGUGGGCAUGCCUGUUCGAGCGUCAUUUCAACCCUUAAGCCUCUGUUGCUUAGCGUUGGGAGCCUACAGCACUGUAGCUCCCCAAAGUCAGUGGCGGAGUCGGGCUCACACUCUAGGCGUAGUACUUUUUCUCACCUCGCCUGCAGUUGGACCGGUCUCCUGCCGUAAAACACCCCAGUUUCUAGAAGGUUGACCUCGGAUCAGGUAGGAAUACCCGCUGA
rnacentral:misc_RNA from 1 species